UACGUAGGGUGCGAGCGUUGUCCGGAAUUAUUGGGCGUAAAGAGCUCGUAGGCGGUGUGUCACGUCGAUCGUGAAAACUUGGGGCUUAACUCUGAGCUUGCGGUCGAUACGGGCAUCACUGGAGUUCGGCAGGGGAGACUGGAAUUCCUGGUGUAGCGGUGAAAUGCGCAGAUAUCAGGAGGAACACCGGUGGCGAAGGCGGGUCUCUGGGCCGAUAUUGACGCUGAGGAGCGAAAGCGUGGGGAGCGAACAGG
rnacentral:rRNA from 1 species